AACGAACGCUGGCGGCAGGCCUAACACAUGCAAGUCGAGCGGGGACUUCGGUCCUAGCGGCGGACGGGUGAGUAACGCGUGGGAACGUGCCCUUUGCUUCGGAAUAGCCCCUGGAAACGGGGAGUAAUACCGGAUGUGCUCGAGAGAGGAAAGAUUUUUCGGCAAAGGAUCGGCCCGCGUUGGAUUAGGUAGUUGGUGGGGUAAUGGCCUACCAAGCCGACGAUCCAUAGCUGGUUUGAGAGGAUGAUCAGCCACACUGGGACUGAGACACGGCCCAGACUCCUACGGGAGGCAGCAGUGGGGAAUCUUAGACAAUGGGCGCAAGCCUGAUCUAGCCAUCGCCGCGUAGACGGACGAGUAGGAACGGUACCGUUUAGGGUUAGU
rnacentral:rRNA from 1 species